rnacentral:lncRNA from 1 species
CUGCUCUAAGUCUAUCCUGAAUGACCCGGACCCUAUCCAAAAACUCACAAAGCAAGUCCGUACCUCAAGGUCUCACCUCUGAAACAUCGAACCAACCUACUGGAGAGCGGAAACGCCUACCAUGCAACGCCUCAAAAGGAGCCAUAUCAAUACUGGAAUGGUAGCUAUUACUAUGUCCAAACUAUGCUAAAGCCAAAUACUGCUCCCACUGGCCACCAAAAUCCAUUACGCACUCGCGGAGUAUACUCCAAAACCUGGAUAGUCUAUUCUGACUGGCCAUCAGUCUGGGGUGAAACCCUGAACUAAGAUCCACU